rnacentral:misc_RNA from 1 species
GGAAGUAAAAAUCGUAACAAGGUCUCCGUUGGUGAACCAGCGGAGGGAUCAUUACAGAGUUGCAAAACUCCCAAACCAUUGUGAACGUUACCUAUCCCGUUGCUUCGGCGGGCGGCCCGGGCCCCGCGCCCGGCGCCCCCCGGCCCCCCGUGGGCGCCCGCCGGAGGUAAACCAAACCCUUGAAUUGCAUGGCCUCUCUGAGUCUUCUGUACUGAAUAAGUCAAAACUUUCAACAACGGAUCUCUUGGUUCUG